rnacentral:rRNA from 1 species
ACGAACGCUGGCGGCGUGCUUAACCCAUGCACGUCGAACGCUGAAGACCUGGCUUUUGUUGGGUUGGAUGAGUGGCGAACGGGUGAGUAACACGUGAGUAACCUGCCCUCUUCUUUGGGAUAACGCCCGGAAACGGGUGCUAAUACUGGAUAUUCACUGAUCUUCGCAUGGGGGUUGGUGGAAAGGUUUGUUCUGGUGGGGGAUGGGCUCGCGGCCUAUCAGCUUGUUGGUGGGGUGAUGGCCUACCAAGGCUUUGACGGGUAGCCGGCCUGAGAGGGUGACCGGUCACAUUGGGACUGAGAUACGGCCCAGACUCCUACGGGAGGCAGCAGUGGGGAAUAUUGCACAAUGGGCGAAAGCCUGAUGCAGCGACGCCGCGUGAGGGAUGGAGGCCUUCGGGUUGUAAACCUCUUUCGCUCAUGGUCAAGCCGCAACUGUGGGUUGUGGUGAGGGUAGUGGGUAAAGAAGCGCCGGCUAACUACGUG